rnacentral:rRNA from 1 species
CCAGGUCUUGACAUCCCGAUGCUAUUUCUAGAGAUAGAAAGUUACUUCGGUACAUCGGUGACAGGUGGUGCAUGGUUGUCGUCAGCUCGUGUCGUGAGAUGUUGGGUUAAGUCCCGCAACGAGCGCAACCCCUAUUGUUAGUUGCCAUCAUUCAGUUGGGCACUCUAGCGAGACUGCCGGUAAUAAACCGGAGGAAGGUGGGAUGACGUCAAAUCAUCAUGCCCCUUAUGACCUGGGCUACACACGUGCUACAAUGGUUGGUACAACGAGUUGCGAGUCGGUGACGGCGAGCUAAUCUCUUAAAGCCAAUCUCAGUUCGGAUUGUAGGCUGCAACUCGCCUACAUGAAGUCGGAAUCGCUAGUAAUCGCGGAUCAGCACGCCGCGGUGAAUACGUUCCCGGGCCUU